rnacentral:lncRNA from 1 species
CUCUCCCUGCACGUAGGCACCAAGGAAAGGUCAUCUGAGGACAUCACCCGGAAGAGCGCUGUCAGCAGAACCCGAUGUGCAGCCUCUCCGACCUCAGACCUGCAGCCUCCAGAACCACAAGAAAUAAAUGUUCAAGCCACCAAAUCUAUGGUAAUUUGUCAUGGCAGCCUGAGCUGAACACAUUUGCUUCUCUGUCCCCGGUGCGAUGAGAGUCUUGCUCUAUCACCCAGGCUGGAGAGCAGCGUUGUGAUCAGGACUCAUUGCAACAUCCACCUCCCAGGUUCAAGUGAUUCUUGUGCCUCAGCCUCCCAAGUAGCUGGGAUUACAG